UUCUAACAUGCUCGUGGCUGUCAUUUGCACACAUUUUGCAUUCAUGGCAUAUCAUUUUAUGUUGGCCAUAUCUUUUAGACCGUAGCUUCAUUUUAGAUGAUCUAUAUAUGUAAAUCGACUAGAAUGACGUGUAGAUUCACAUGAUCCACUUUAUUUUUGUUGUUUAACAAAUAUAAGACAUAUUUAGUUCAGAUAUGGACCAAUUUCGAAAUUAACAUAUGGGUCACUUCAGAAAUCCUAUAAGUUGUUUCCGACCUCAUUUAA
rnacentral:lncRNA from 1 species